rnacentral:misc_RNA from 1 species
GGAGAGUCGAGGUUCCCUGCUCAGGUGAAGAUCCGUAUCAGGAAACUUGGUAGGGCUUUGGAGGAAGAUGCUUUUAGACCAGUGCUGCAUCACUAUGAUGGACCCAAAUUUCGUCUUGAGCUCUCUGUGCCCGAGACUUUGGACUUGAUGGAUCUCUUUGAAAAUACCAGCGUGUUCGCGCCAGUCUGAAGUCAUGGAUUUAUUAUUUAUUAGCAUACAUUAUGAACUCAUGAAUAUUGUAGUUUAGUAGUAGAAACGUGUUCUCCACAGAUUUCCAAAGCACAAUUUUGGUGUAAAGUCUGGCUGAGAGAGGUUCUGAAUAGCAGGGUUGGCUAAUUUAGCCAAUGAAGUGUGAUUUUGUUUGGAGAUGCUUGAAUAUGAGCCUCCCAAAUUUAGUGUUGUGAUCUUAUAAUGAAU